GAGGGUCUGGGGCUUCCUUAUCUAAAGUCUCUUACAGCUCUGAGCAGCUGAGUCGAUCCUUGAACGUCACAGUCCCAACACAUAGGAUAAGCCCACAGAAGAGGGCGAGCCACGACCCUGAGAUCUCUUCUCCAGCCCAUCACACCCCACAGUCUCCAAACUGAGCAUGUCUAUCCUUUCCAGAGGAUGGGGCAUUCUGAAGUCUGGUCUGUAUGCCCCCUUCCCCCCAGAGUCACACUGUACAGCUCUCUCCCCACUUGCCUUGUGUUCCUUACAUUUCUGGGGUAAGUCUCACUCGGUCACGUAUGCAAUUCUUUUUAUGCUGCUGGACUUUACUUUGCUGGGAUUCUGCCGAAGCAGUUUUGUCUCUAUUCAUAAGAGCUUUUGGUCAGUAGCUUUCUUUCUCUGUGAACUCAUUCAGUGUUGGUAUCAGGGUGACACUGGCCCUCUAUUAUGAGUUCAGAGUUGCAUUCUCUAGUCUUUUGCUGAAUAAGUUGUGAAAAUGGAUGCCAUCUUUUCUUCAAAGAUGUGGGAGAACUCACUGGUGAGGCCUCUAGCCUUGAGUUUUCCUUCACAGACAGAUAUUUGCUCUGUGCUGAUGAGUCUGUUCCAAGUUUCUGUUUCUUGGCCAGUGUCAGCCAUGGGUGUCUUUGCCUUUGUAGCAAUGUGUGCGUCUCAUCUGUUCCCGUUGACCCAUCUGUCUUACAUCAGUACUGGUCUAUUCUGGAAAUGGAUGAAAGAUGAGAUAACUGGAGGACUGGAACUGUUAAAGCAAAUAAAAAGUUACAAUGAUUUAUAAAUAUGGAAGGAAAGAGAUGUAGGUAGAGACUUCAGUGCAAUUAAAAGGCACAUGGUGCAGGGCUGGCCAGAUGGCUCAGUGGGUAGAGCUGCUUUCCAUUCAAUUACAACCCUGAUGACUUGAAUUUGAUUCCCAGAACACACAUGGAGCUACAAAGAGAAAACCAAUCCUGCUGAGUUUUCCCCUAACCUCUACAUAUAUUCUGUGGCAUAAACACACCCACACAUAAUAAUGAGUAAGAUAAUAAACUUGAAAUAAUUUUUAAUGCACAUGGAAUAAUCCCUGAGAGACAAGUUGGGAUUUUUUUUUUGAGGCAGGGUUUCUCUGUGUAGCCCUGGCUGGAACUCACUCUGUAGACCAGGCUGGCCUUGAACUCAGAAAUCCGCCUGCCUCUGCCUCCCAAGUGCUGGGAUUAAAGGCGUGUGCCACCACUGCCUGGCAAGUUGGGAUCUUUUUAAAGGGUGGUCUUUGUUUUAAUCUGUGUGUGUGUGUGUGUGUGUGUGUGUGUGUGAGAGAGAGAGAGAGACAGAGACAGAGAGACAGAGAGACAGAGAGAGACAGAGAGAGACAGAGAUAAAGACAGAGAGAGUGAGUUUAUGCGUGUUCACAUAUGUGAGUACAGGUGUCCACAUACCACAGCACACAUGUAGACAUCGGAAGACAACCUCAGUUCUCCUUCACUUCCACCUUGUUGGGACUGUGCCUCUCACUGUUCCUAGGUGCGUCUGCAAGGCCAGCUGGCGCAUGAUCUCCUGGUGAUUAUCCUAACUCUGACACCCAGCUUGCUCCUACAAUUGAAUGUCAGAUGUGCGCCACCGUAUCUGGCUUUUGUGGGCUCUGAGGAUCCAGCUUAGAUCUCACACUUGGGUGGAAAGAGCUUUACCCACUCGACUAUUUUCCCAGCCCUGAUUUUGGUAUUUAUUUACUUAUUUUAUAAAAUACACAUGACUUUCCUCUCUGAGAGGGCUGGAGCCUCCAGCCAAGGGACUCCACCAGGGGUCCUGCAUCUUCUACAGUUUGGUUUGCCUUCUUUCUCUUUGAAUAGCAUUAGAGGCAAAUGUAUAUGCCCAGAAGUGUCCUGGAGAUGCUAAGGUAUGGUGAAAUUAGCUAUGGUAUCUUUGGGGCUAUUACAACACUCCUUUCAUUAGACUUUCUUAGAAUGCCUAUAAUUGACAUCUUAACUACAGCUAUCACACACACACACAUGCAUGCAUGCUCUCUCUCUCUCUCUUUCUCUCUCUCUCACUCUCUCUCUCCCUCACACACACACACGCACGUGCACUCGCGCACGCACACUACAGCCCAACAGAGCCAGCGGGGCAUAGCCAGCAGACAUGAAUAGCUCCCAAGCUGUCUGGUGUCCAGUGCAGCCCGAGAGAGCAGGCCUCUCCUUUGCUCCAUCACUGAGAGCAGCUGGCCCAGGGGCUUGCCAUGGCUUCCCUUUGUGUGUAUUUACUUUGUAUGGUUAGCACUCACAAUCGAUUGUGAAAAUCUUGCAUCCUAACCCUCCAUGUGAAACAAACAUACAAAUCUUAUCAUGUGGAGUUAGUCAGUGUCAUAAAGUGAAGUUUCAGCCGUUUUGAAGCAAAGCCAAGUUUAUUUGGUACACACCCACACUGUAUUAAGUGGUGCUACCUGAGACCCCCCCCCCUUAGUAUUUGUAAGGACCAUCUCGUUCCAUGCGCAUUACAACUUAGAAGGUAUCCCCACUUGUGAUUUGAAUGAGAGUAUUCCCCAUAGGACCGUGCAUUUGAACACUUGGCCCCCAAUUGGUGGACUUUUGGACAAUUGGUGUUUAGGGAGGACUAGGGGGAGUAGCCUUGCUGGAGUAUGCCAUCUGGGAUGGGCUUAGGAACUUCAGAAAGUUCUCUCCCCCUCCCCCUAUACUUUCGCCUCCCUCUAUACUUCCCCUCUCCCUCCCCUUCCCUUUCUCCUUCUCCUUCUCCCUCCCCCUCCCCCUCCUGCUCUAGUCACCAUGCCCACCUACUGCCUCUGUCCCUAUCAUUAUGAACCCUAGGCCAACAUAGAUCCUUCUUUCUAUAAAUUACUUUGGCCAUGGUGUUUUAUCACAACAAUACAAAGGUAACUAAGGUACCAUUUUAUAGAGGACUAAACUGAGGUUUCAAAUCUUGGAUAACUUGCUUGUACGUAUUACUUUCUGACCCUGUGGCCAAAACAGUUGACAGAAGUCACUUCAGGGAGGAAUUGUUUCUUUUGCUCCUGGUGUCAGAGGGUUCAUUCUGUCCUGGUGGGAAAGGUGUGUGGGACAGGAAGCUCGUACCCUGGGGAAUGUUCCCCCUCGGCUGGCUUUCUCUUUCUCUCUUCUGUCCCAACUAGACCUCCCCACAACCCCAAGACUGUGUUUGGUGCUUUCCGGGUAGGUCAUUCAUUCUCUCUCUCUCUCUCUUUCUCUCUCUCUCUCUCUCUCCCUCUCUCUCUCUCUCUCUCCCUCUCUCUUUCUCCAUGAAUGUUCUGGAAACCUUCACAGACAUACCAGUCUCAUGGGUGCUUCUACAUCCAGUCAAGUUGACAGUCACAUUAGCCAUUACACUGCCCAGAAUCACAUAGGUAGUGGUUCAAGCAUGCUGAGAGUACGUGGGGUCCUGGGAUCAGCCCCCACCACUGAAGUGGCAAAGGGGUGGCUUUGGCUGAGAAAGACUUUGUGGAACAUUCCUGUCAUCUUGACACUCAGAAGGGUGGGGCAGUCCAUGCUACACUGUAUGACUGGUGAGUGAGGGGGAAUGUCCUCAGCUUCCACCAGUGAUACUCCUUUUGUCUGACCCAGUGUUGCUCCAUCAGCCUGGGAGCUCACCAGACUCCUAGUUAGUCAGAAUCCCAGGGGAAGGUCCACACAUGAGAAUUGCUUCUUAUCUUCAAGUUUUUAAUAUUUCAUACAAUUAUUUUUAUCAUACUCUUUUCCCUUCCCUAACUCCUCCCAGAUCUUCCCCAAUCCCCUUACUCACCUCUCUUCAUGUUCUUUCUC
rnacentral:lncRNA from 1 species